GACGAGUCUCACGAACGUUAUUCGGAAUUACUGGGCUUAAAGGGUGCGUAGGCGGUGAAGUAAGUCGGGUGUGAAAUACCAUAGCUUAACUAUGGAACUGCACUCGAUACUACUUUGCUAGAGUAAGACAGAGGUGAGUGGAACUGAGGGUGGAGCGGUGAAAUGCGUUGAUAUUCUCAGGAACACCGGUGGCGAAGGCGACUCACUGGGUCUUUACUGACGCUGAUGCACGAAAGCUAGGGUAGCAAACGGG
rnacentral:rRNA from 1 species